AUUGAACGCUGGCGGCAUGCCUUACACAUGCAAGUCGAACGGUAACAGGUUAAGCUGACGAGUGGCGAACGGGUGAGUAAUAUAUCGGAACGUGCCCAGUCGUGGGGGAUAACUGCUCGAAAGAGCAGCUAAUACCGCAUACGACCUGAGGGUGAAAGCGGGGGAUCGCAAGACCUCGCGCGAUUGGAGCGGCCGAUAUCAGAUUAGGUAGUUGGUGGGGUAAAAGCCUACCAAGCCAACGAUCUGUAGCUGGUCUGAGAGGACGACCAGCCACAGUGGGACUGAGACACGGCCCAGAGUCCUGCGGGAGGCAGCAGUGGGGAAUUUUGGACAAUGGACGCAAGUCUGAUCCAGCCAUGCCGCGUGCGGGAAGAAGGCCUUCGGGUUGUAAACCGCUUUUGUCAGGGAAGAAACGCUCUGGGUUAAUACCUCGGGGUAAUGACGGUACCUGAAGAAUAAGCACCGGCUAACUACGUGCCAGCAGCCGCGGUAA
rnacentral:rRNA from 1 species